rnacentral:rRNA from 1 species
CAGCAAUACCGCGUGUGUGAAGAAGGCCUUAGGGUUGUAAAGCACUUUCAAUUGGGAGGAAAACCUGUCGGUCAAUACCCGGCAGCUUGACAUUACCUUUAGAAGAAGCACCGGCUAACUCCGUGCCAGCAGCCGCGGUAAUACGGAGGGUGCAAGCGUUAAUCGGAAUUACUGGGCGUAAAGCGUGCGUAGGCGGUUCGUUAAGUCAGAUGUGAAAGCCCCGGGCUUAACCUGGGAACUGCAUUUGAAACUGGCGGACUUGAGUUGAGUAGAGGGGAGUGGAAUUUCAGGUGUAGCGGUGAAAUGCGUAGAUAUCUGAAGGAACACCAGUGGCGAAGGCGACUCCCUGGACUCAAACUGACGCUGAGGUACGAAAGCGUGGGUAGCAAACAGGAUUAGAUACCCUGGUAGUCCACGCUGUAAACGAUGUCAACUAGCCGUUGGUCCUAUUUACAGGAUUAGUGGCGCAGCUAACGCAUUAAGUUGACCGCCUGGGGAGUACGGCCGCAAGGUUAAAACUCAAAUGAAUUGACGAG